UACGUAGGGGGCAAGCGUUGUCCGGAUUUAUUGGACGUAAAGAGCGUGUAGGCGGCCAGACAGGUCCGUUGUGAAAACUCGAGGCUCAACCUCGAGACGCCGAUGGAAACCGUCUGGCUAGAGUCCGGAAGAGGAGAGUGGAAUUCCUGGUGUAGCGGUGAAAUGCGCAGAUAUCAGGAAGAACACCCGUGGCUAAGGCGGCUCUCUAGUACGGUACUGACGCUGAGACGCGAAAGCGUGGGGAGCAAACAGG
rnacentral:rRNA from 1 species